rnacentral:misc_RNA from 1 species
GCAAGAUCCGCCGUUGGAUCCUCCUUCCCAAUCCAUCUCUAACAAACCACCAAAACAACAAUCUUUAACACCCCCACCGGAAAAACCAACUCGACACUACACAAAACUGAUCUCUAAAUGCCCAGAGACACACAUAAACAAUGGCGAAGCAGCAAAAACGACUUUCCCAGGAGAAAAGAAACGCACGCCUUUAGCUUGUGCUUGUGCUGCUGGGAGCUGGCG